rfam:Schistosoma curassoni strain Dakar, Senegal genome assembly, scaffold: SCTD_scaffold0000280
AUCCAGCUGACGAGUUUCAAAUAGAACAAAACGUGUGUUAUGGAU